rnacentral:rRNA from 1 species
UAGGGAAUCUUCCGCAAUGGACGAAAGUCUGACGGAGCAACGCCGCGUGAGCGAAGAAGGUCUUCGGAUCGUAAAGCUCUGUUGUUAGGGAAGAACAAGUAUCGUUCGAAUAGGGCGGUACCUUGACGGUACCUAACCAGAAAGCCACGGCUAACUACGUGCCAGCAGCCGCGGUAAUACGUAGGUGGCAAGCGUUAUCCGGAAUUAUUGGGCGUAAAGCGCGCGCAGGCGGUCCUUUAAGUCUGAUGUGAAAGCCCACGGCUCAACCGUGGAGGGUCAUUGGAAACUGGGGGACUUGAGUGCAGAAGAGGAGAGCGGAAUUCCACGUGUAGCGGUGAAAUGCGUAGAGAUGUGGAGGAACACCAGUGGCGAAGGCGGCUCUCUGGUCUGUAACUGACGCUGAGGCGCGAAAGCGUGGGGAGCGAACA